AGAGGGUCAACGACGGCGGAAUUUUGUUUUUUAUGCUUCAUUCAUUCGACUUACAGUGUUUGCAAUGUGUACCUGUUGUAAGUGUGGAUCGACGUCGUCAAUUAUUCAAAAUGAGUCUUGACCAGUAACGAGACUGCACGGAAUUGUGGAAAUCUUUGUACGCGGAGAGAUAAGAUUACUUUUCAUUUGAGUUCCGGCGGUUGAAAGAGAAACUCUCCGAAUUCGAGGUGUAAAGCUUUGACUCAAAGCCACGUGGUUCCGAGCUCCGUGCAAGCCUUCCGUUCAAGACGAGGCGGGUGGCUUUGUAACGCCGAGUGAUAUCGGACUUAUUUCAUUCUUACUAUUUUAUUUUUGCUAUUUACGAAUCGCGCUGUUUGCUUUAGAUUAAGGCUAAGAAAAUCCCGAGUGCUUCUUCAAGAAAUACUCAGACCAAAUGUCGGUUUCGGUACGUGAAAUCCGGCUCACACUUCCACGUCUGGGUUUGAAUGAAAUUCGGAAUCGCUGUGGGAAAAUUGGAAGGUUAACAAAUUGAAAAACAUUCCACAGCGUAUUUGCACGAACAACUUGAUGAUUAGAUUAAUUGAAUCCCACGAAUUCCCAGCAGGGGAUAACCAGAAAGUAAUUUUCAAAAAGCACAGGGAUUGGGUUAUGCGUUGAUGAAACAGCACAACAAAGUGUUAUCAUUGUAACAGUAAAGCGGAAUAAACAUAAUUGUCUAUGAUAAUGAUAAUGACAAUUACGAGAAUAACAGUACCAGCAAUAAAAACGAUGAUAUGAAUUUGUAUACAGGGUCUUAAGUACCACCGCGAGUCAUGAAAUUUAAUCAGGGUUUAAAGGCCGGUGCAUAAAGCUCUGUACGGAGGAGGGAUUCCAUUUUAUUAAAGUGUGUGUGUACCGGUGAAGGUAUCGAAUGUUAUCGAUGGAUUUUUAGAAAUAAUCAGUUUUCCGUUAAACGAAACGUGCACAAACAAACUGCAGUGCGUGCUUCGGAUUCUGUAAUCUUGUGGAAUGAGUUGAAAAUCGCUCAGCCCUCGCAGAAACUAGAGUGACUAACGUGGUUAUUAAAGAGACAGCAACUAAAGCUCGUAGAAAAAGCUAAAAAGUCACAAGAGUGUCAUCUCAAAAAUGGAUUUCACCUUCGUUCUCUUCAUCAUUCUGCUCAGACAUCAAGCCGACGCUGUCAAGCUUCUCCAUAUCCACGUACCACCUUAUACUAUCAAGGGGGAAAAUGCGAUUCUUCAUUGCAGAUACGACUUGGGCCUAGACAAACUCUACUCAGUGACGUGGUACAAGGACCACGAAGAGUUCUACAGAUACGUGCCCCGGUCCAAUCCAACCCAGCACAGUUAUCUCGUCGACGGGGUUAAAGUUGACGCGCACAUGUCGGACAGCCAGCAGGUCUUCUUGAGGCACGUAAGCUUACGCACGAGUGGACUCUACAGAUGUGAAGUGAGCGCAGAGGCGCCGAGCUUCACUUCUGUUCAUGGCGACGGCCACAUGGAAGUUAUUUCGCUCCCUCAAGAGGAUCCGCAGAUCACGGGGGAGGAAAAAGUCUAUGCCAGUGGGGAUAUCCUGGCGCUAAAUUGUACGAGUAGCAAAUCCUUUCCACCAGCACGGCUCAAGUGGUUUAUCAACGGCGUUCCGGCACGCUCGGACUACGAGGCGCUGAUACAACAGCACGGUUUGGUUUCGUCCGUGUCGGGUCUUCGUCUGGAAGUUGGACCGCAUCACCUCACGGAGGGAAAAAUAAACGUGAGGUGUGAGGCAACAGUGCAAUCAAGUCGUCCAAUCAAGGAGCCGCUGAUUGAUUAUCGAAAGGCGCAAGUAUUCGUUCAGGGCAGCGCGUAUCUCCCGAGGCCAUGCUUGAUGUUGCUGGUUGGAUUUUUGACGGUCACUCGGCUACUUGCGCUUUCGUAAAUUCGGAAUGCGAGUACGGUGAGGAAGAACAUGAAGAAGAAAAAAUUCGUGACUAAAGACAAUCAGAGCAGCUGCGAAAAAUCUAAGUGGAUAAUCAUAGAGCUGCGGUCAGUUGACGGUAUUCCUGUUCGAUCUAAACGAAGAGUAAACGUCGUGCUUUUCCUGAAUUAUACGAGGCUUGACUUGGCAGAGAAGCUUGAAUACGAAAAUUUCUACCAUGAAUUCGGUAGGAUAAUUUAUCCGAAUUUGUUCAAAUACUUCCGUAAAACGUGUUUUGUAUUGUUGUAGGUUAUAAUCUUAUAACCGGACUGAACAUGAUAAAGCUUUUUGACAAAACAAAGCUGUGAAAUACAGGUAAGGAAAUAAGUGGACGAAUUGUGAUGAUUUUUUAUGUCUUGAAAUUUUUGUCACAACAAUGCUUGAAAAAAACGACAGACACUGUAAAAAAAGAAAUUGUAGUAAUAAUACUUUGGUUGAUCGUCUUACGUGGCUUUGUGAUAUAUCUGCGCUAGACAUUUAAUGAAAUAAACAUAUCUUCGAAAUCAUGUAUACCGCGAAUGAAACCAAUUGUGUGUAUGUACAUACAUGUAUAUUCUGUAGUGAUAUUAUUGAGGGUGAAAUCAGCGCACACGUACUGCAUAGAUAAAUAAAUAAAUAUAUUACAUAUAUAAUA
rnacentral:misc_RNA from 1 species